UACGAAGGGGGCUAGCGUUGCUCGGAAUUACUGGGCGUAAAGCGCACGUAGGCGGUCUUUUAAGUCAGGGGUGAAAUCCUGGAGCUCAACUCCAGAACUGCCUUUGAUACUGAAGAUCUUGAGUUCGGGAGAGGUGAGUGGAACUGCGAGUGUAGAGGUGAAAUUCGUAGAUAUUCGCAAGAACACCAGUGCGAGGCGCUCACUGGCCCGAUACUGACGCUGAGGCACGAAAGCGUGGGGAGCAAACAGG
rnacentral:rRNA from 1 species